CAGUUGCUGGCUGCUGCCUCUAUCUUCCCUAAAUAUUUCCCUUCCAACAGCUGGACGUCCCCCUCCUCCUUCCCCAGUCUUUCCUCAAGGGAUAAUGAAAUUUGACUGUCCUGCAGCCUGGGCAUUGUUUGGGAGCACGGCUGCCUGGGAUCAGUUGCUGCUUGUCAAU
rnacentral:lncRNA from 1 species